UUCCGUAGGUGGAACCUGCGGAGGGAUCAUUAUAGAGUUGCCCUAACUCCCAAACCCAUGUGAACCUACCUCGCGUUGCCUCGGCGGGUGUGCCCUCUCGCCUCACCCGGCAGAUGGAUGGCCCCGCCGGCGGCCCCCCCUAACUCUGUUUUCUAUAGCAUUGGACUUCUGAAGAAAAAAAGUUAAUACGUUAAAACUUUCAACAACGGAUCUCUUGGUUCUGGCAUCGAUGAAGAACGCAGCGAAAUGCGAUAAGUAAUGUGAAUUGCAGAAUUCAGUGAAUCAUCGAAUCUUUGAACGCACAUUGCGCCCACCAGUAUUCUGGUGGGCAUGCCUGUUCGAGCGUCAUUUCAACCCUUAAGCCCUCGUCGCUUAGCGUUGGGAGCCUACCGGAACCCUCCUGGUAGCUCCCCAAAAUCAGUGGCGGAGCCGGCUCGCACUCCAGACGUAGUAGCUCUUACACGUCGCCUGUAGCGCGGACCGGUCCCCUGCCGUAAAACACCCCCCAUUCUGAUAGGUGACCUCGGAUCAGGUAGGA
rnacentral:rRNA from 1 species